AAUAGACUACCCGGUAGUCCACGCCGUAAACGAUGAGUGCUAAGUGUUAGAGGGUUUCCGCCCUUUAGUGCUGCAGCUAACGCAUUAAGCACUCCGCCUGGGGAGUACGGUCGCAAGACUGAAACUCAAAGGAAUUGACGGGGGCCCGCACAAGCGGUGGAGCAUGUGGUUUAAUUCGAAGCAACGCGAAGAACCUUACCAGGUCUUGACAUCCUCUGACAACUCUAGAGAUAGAGCGUUCCCCUUCGGGGGACAGAGUGACAGGUGGUGCAUGGUUGUCGUCAGCUCGUGUCGUGAGAUGUUGGGUUAAGUCCCGCAACGAGCGCAACCCUUGAUCUUAGUUGCCAGCAUUUAGUUGGGCACUCUAAGGUGACUGCCGGUGACAAACCGGAGGAAGGUGGGGAUGACGUCAAAUCAUCAUGCCCCUUAUGACCUGGGCUACACACGUGCUACAAUGGAUGGUACAAAGGGCUGCAAGACCGCGAGGUCAAGCCAAUCCCAUAAAACCAUUCUCAGUUCGGAUUGUAGG
rnacentral:rRNA from 1 species